rnacentral:rRNA from 1 species
GGUGAAACUGCGAAUGGCUCAUUAAAUCAGUUAUCGUUUAUUUGAUAGUACCUUACUACAUGGAUAACCGUGGUAAUUCUAGAGCUAAUACAUGCUAAAAACCUCGACUUCGGAAGGGGUGUAUUUAUUAGAUAAAAAACCAAUGCCCUUCGGGGCUCCUUGGUGAAUCAUAAUAACUUAACGAAUCGCAUGGCCUUGCGCCGGCGAUGGUUCAUUCAAAUUUCUGCCCUAUCAACUUUCGAUGGUAGGAUAGUGGCCUACCAUGGUAUCAACGGGUAACGGGGAAUUAGGGUUCGACUCCGGAGAGGGAGCCUGAGAAACGGCUACCACAUCCAAGGAAGGCAGCAGGCGCGCAAAUUACCCAAUCCCGACACGGGGAGGUAGUGACAAUAAAUACUGAUACAGGGCUCUUUUGGGUCUUGUAAUUGGAAUGAGUACAAUUUAAAUCCCUUAACGAGGAACAAUUGAAGGGCAAGUCUGGUGCCAGCAGCCGCGGUAAUUCCAGCUCCAAUAGCGUAUAUUAAAGUUGUUGCAGUUAAAAAGCUCGUAGUUGAACCUUGGGCCUGGCUGGCCGGUCCGCCUCAGCGCGUGUACUGGUCCGGCCGGGCCUUUCCUUCUGGGGAACCUCAUGCCCUUCACUGGGCGUGUUGGGGAACCAGGACUUUUACUUUGAAAAAAUUAAAGUGUUCAAAUCAGGCCUUUGCUC